GAUGAACGCUAGCUACAGGCUUAACACAUGCAAGUCGAGGGACCGGCGCACGGGUGAGUAACACGUAUCCAACCUGCCCUUUACUCGGGGAUAGCCUUUCGAAAGAAAGAUUAAUACCCGAUGUAAAGGAUGGGGAUGCGUUCCAAUAGGUUGUUGGUGAGGGAACGGCUCACCAAGCCUUCGAUGGCUAGGGGUUCUGAGAUGAAGGGCCCCCGCACUUGAACUGGGACACGGUCCAAACUCCUACGGGAGGCAGCAGUGAGGAAUAUUGGUCAAUGGGCGUUAGCCUGAACCAGCCAAGUAGCGUGAAGGAUGAAGGCUUAUGGGUCGUAAACUUCUUUUAUAUAAGAAUAUGUAUUAUAUGAAUAAGGAUCGGCUAACUCCGUGCCAGCCGCCGCGGUAAUAC
rnacentral:rRNA from 1 species